GACUUGGUAUUCAAGUGGUUAAGAGGACAGUCUGCAAAACUGUUAUCGUGGGUUCGAUUCCCAUCCAAGUCU
rnacentral:tRNA from 1 species